rnacentral:siRNA from 1 species
UAUAUCCCAUUUCUACCA